UACGGAGGGUGCGAGCGUUGUCCGGAAUCACUGGGCGUAAAGGGCGCGUAGGCGGCAGGCCAAGCGUGCGGUGAAAGUCCGGGGCUCAACCCCGGAUCUGCCGUGCGGACUGGUUUGCUAGAGCACUGUAGAGGCGAGUGGAAUUCCGGGUGUAGCGGUGAAAUGCGUAGAUAUCUGGAGGAACACCGGUGGCGAAGGCGGCAUCCUGGACCGGCAUUGACGCUGAGGCGCGAAAGCCAGGGGAGCAAACGGG
rnacentral:rRNA from 1 species